rnacentral:rRNA from 1 species
ACGCUCGACACCUACGGAGGCAGCAGUGGGGAAUAUUGCACAACGGAGGAAACUCUGAUGCAGCGAUGCCGCGUGAGGGAAGAAGGUUUUCGGAUUGUAAACCUCUGUCUUUGGGGACGAUAAUGACGGUACCCAAGGAGGAAGCUCCGGCUAACUACGUGCCAUCAGCCGCGGUAAUCUGAGCGGGCUGGCAAGGC